UGGGGCUUUUUACCUUUUUUCACUACCAGUGAUUCUGUCGGUCCACCUCCGGAAUACCCAGAUCUGACUUUGGGAUUCUACGACCACACAUCACGUGAAAAAAGUUUUCUCUACAAGUGCAAAAAGGCAGAAUUUCCCAACAGUGCAAGGAAUCUUUUCUGGGAAAGGUCUAAACAGGCAUCCCGGAAACGACCUCCGGCGGCACGAUUUUCUGCUGAAAAAUUGCAAAAAAUUUGCGAUAUUUUUUGCUAAUUCCAAACUUUGGGGACUAGUAGUACUGCUCAAGGGGGUCACAAAACUACAAAGAAAUAUUAUACGAAAUUUUUUCUGUUUUGUG
rnacentral:lncRNA from 1 species